GUGGAGAGGAUCCGAAGUCGCUGGGUCCAUUCUUGGUCGGAUUCUUCUGUUACGGUGCGUGAAUGAGGACCCAAAAGCGAAUCAACUUAAACAGAGCUUCUUUAAUUACCAAACAUAGGUAGGCUCAGAUGGACCGGCAGAUUCCGACAGGACAGGACAAGGUUACAGCAAACAUGACGACAGUCUGGUUCAGGCAUGAAUGACACAAACAAACAAGAAUCCGACAAGGACAGGAGCAGAAACAGAGAGAGAUAUUGGGACCUAAUCAGAGGGAAAAAAGGGAACAGGUUCACCAUCUCCGCCUCGAUCCACCGGCCACUUCCAGGGCUUUCGAAUCUCCGGAGCCCAGAAUCAAUAACCCGCCGUGUUACUCUGGGGAGCCCACUGAAUGCCGCUCGUUCCUCACCCAGUGUGAUAUUGUGUUUUCUCUCCAGCCCAACACUUACUCCAGGAGCACUGCUCGUGUCGCCUACGUCAUAUCUCUCCUUAUUGGACGGGCUCGUGAGUGGGGCACGGCAAUCUGGGAGGCAAGGGCUGAGUGUACUAACCAGUAUCAGGACUUUAAGGAGGAGAUGAUACGGGUUUUUGAUCGAUCUGUUUUUGGGGAGGAGGCUUCCAGGGCCCUGUCUUCCCUAUGUCAAGGCAAUCGAUCCAUAACAGACUACUCUAUUGAGUUUCGCACUCUUGCUGUCUCCAGUGGCUGGAACGAGCCGGCCUUGCUCGCUCGUCUUCUGGAGGGUCUCCGGCAGAGGUAAAGGAUGAGAUUCUCUCCCGGGAGGUUCCUUCCAGCGUGGAUUCCUUGAUUGAACUCGCUAUUCGCAUUGAGCGACGGGUUGAUCUUCGUCACCGAGCUCGUGGAAAGGAGCUCGCGCUCUCCGUCGCCCCCCUCUCCGCAUCACUACCAUCUUCCUCUGCCGGCUCGGGUGCUGAGCCCAUGCAGCUGGGAGGUAUCCGCAUCUCGACUAAGGAGAGGGAACGGAGAAUCACCAACCGCCUCUGUCUCUAUUGCGGUUCCGCUGGUCAUUUUGUCACUUCAUGUCCAGUAAAAGGCCAGAGCUCGUCAGUAAGCGGAGGGCUACUGGUGAGCGCUACUACUCCUGUCUCUCCUUCAAGAUCCUGCACUACCUUGUCGGUCCAUCUACGCUGGACCGGUUCGUCAGCUUCCUGCAGUGCCUUAAUAGACUCUGGGGCGGAGGGCUGUUUUAU
rnacentral:lncRNA from 13 species